GUUCUGUGAAAUGGAGAUAAAAAUAUCUUACAAGGUUCUUGUGAGGGUUGGAUGGGCUAGAGAUGCGCCUGCCAGGGGUUAGGAGUUCAAUUUUCUUUUUUUAAAUAUGUUAAUUCCUUUCUUUCCCAGAGAGCUCGCAUUCCUGCUGGGAAGGUAAACUCACUCACAUGAAUUGACUUGCGGUGAACUCCACUCCAAAGGCUUUGCUCUUUGUGAAACUGCAAAAGAGCCACACUCUGGAGAACUGGAGAUUUAUAUUUCAGUGAUGUUAAGGGGAGGAUGGCCAUAAAAGUUCAGACCACACAAGUACUCUCUAUUCAAAAAGUCUUUGAGCUCCUAUGGUAUGCCAGCUAGAUGCAAGGAUAAAAAAAACCAGGUGAGAGAAGAAAGACCUGGAGCGCCAAGCUAAAUCAAGCUAAGCUAUGAUCCAGCUAGAAAUUGGUAAGGCAGGACCUGACCCCACCUUCUGCAUUCAAAGUCCACAUUCCUUUUUUCUUUUAAUCCACAUUCUUCGCUUAUAUCACCCUGUGUCU